AUGGCGUCUGCUGGCCUGCUGUUCCUGCUGAUGAUGUCGUCCUCCCUCCUCCUCUCCAGCCUGGGUGAUCCGUCGCUCUCCAGCCAGCCGGGCGCCCACUCUCUACAGAAGAGGGGCAAAAAGACAGAGCGUUUCUUUACUGCUGUAGAUUACAUUGAGAAGGUUGGAAAGGCAGUGGGACCUUUUAUUGGGCUCAUACCGGUUGCUGGACCUUAUAUGAAUCUUAUUUUUCAUUUUGCAGCAGCAGCUUCGUUAGCCAAUCCUAGAGAUGAAACUGAAUUGAUCAAGAAAGAAUUUGAAAAUCUAAAUGUAAAGCUUGACAAACAACAACUGGAGACUAAAUGGGAUAUCUGGGCAACCAGUUACUAUGCAUAUGAGAAGAAAUUCGUGGUAGCCUGGGAGGCUUUAAAAAAUCAUCUGAUUGAGUGUACUAACUCAGACAAAGAAAAAAGGGAUACUCUUGAAAAGAAUUUCAAAAAAAACUAUGAGUUUAUUGCACGCGACACUAAAGAGAUGCUUCAAGCUUUUAAAAAGAAAGAUAACAAAGUUUCUUUCGGGACUGAGUUUGGAGGACUACUGAGUGCCCAUGUUAGAUGUCAUGAAAAGAAGAUCAAAGACUUCACUAUGCUGAUUUAUAGUCUUGUACACAAGGCCAACACCGUCAGUCAUUUCAUAUAUGGCCUCAAAAAGAUUGACCGAGUAAGUGAGCUAGCUGAAAACGCAUAUGAUUCUGCAGUAGUAAUGUUCGACAUUCACAAAAAAUGCAUUUCUGAUGCUGAUAAAUACAUUAAACUGGACAUUCAGGAGCAGAUUACUAAAAUCGAACAAAAAAAGAAACCAUUAGCAAAGACAAUCAGGUUGUUUUUGGAAAAAAUGUUUGACAGGUAUAACUGGAUAGUUGUUGCCUUCCAAAACCCCAAACAUGAAAAGCAAACGUAUCGAAACACUCACUUUUUAUCUGAAACAUUUAUUGAGGUGAAAACAGUGGGCAUUACUGUGGCUGCAGCCAGACAGGUCAAAGGGGCUCACACCAAGGCUGAUAAGGUAAAAAAAGCCAUAGAGAAGUGCAUUACCAAAAAAACAAAGUGUCAUGAAGUUAUAGAGCAGCUCAGCAACUGUAAGGAAUAUGUGGAUAAAAUUCCACUAAAAGAGACUUAUUCAGCCGUUCAUGCCUUUAAAAACAAAAACGCUGGCAGUGUAGCUGCGAAGGAUGCAGAAGAAGCAGAAGAAGCAGAAGAAGCACCAGAGGAUGACAUAGACUCUGAUAACCCCUCUGAUAACCCCUCUGAUAACCCAUCUGCUAACCCAUCUGCUAACCCAUCUGCUAACCCACCUGAUAACCCUGAAACACCCUACAUUUAUAUAGGAACGUGUACAAAAUACUUAAUAGGAAAAAUGAAAAAUUUGUUUAAGGUUGGACACUUUGGAGUUCUGAUUAAAAGUGAUGAAGAGAUGGAAAAAAAGUCUCCUUGCACCAAAAUUGACUGUGGUAGAAAAGGCAAAUGUGUUCUUUUGAAAAACACGUUCGUAGCAGUGUGUGAGUGUGAGAAAGGGCACUACGGAGAGAACUGUGAGGAGACCAUAGAAGGUUACAAGGAACACAUACUUAAAGAAAUGCCAAAAAACUGA
ensembl:lncRNA